UGAACGCUGGCGGCGUGCCUAAUACAUGCAAGUCGAGCGAACGGACGAGAAGCUUGCUUCUCUGAUGUUAGCGGCGGACGGGUGAGUAACACGUGGAUAACCUACCUAUAAGACUGGGAUAACUUCGGGAAACCGGAGCUAAUACCGGAUAAUAUUUUGAACCGCAUGGUUCAAAAGUGAAAGACGGUCUUGCUGUCACUUAUAGAUGGAUCCGCGCUGCAUUAGCUAGUUGGUAAGGUAACGGCUUACCAAGGCAACGAUGCAUAGCCGACCUGAGAGGGUGAUCGGCCACACUGGAACUGAGACACGGUCCAGACUCCUACGGGAGGCAGCAGUAGGGAAUCUUCCGCAAUGGGCGAAAGCCUGACGGAGCAACGCCGCGUGAGUGAUGAAGGUCUUCGGAUCGUAAAACUCUGUUAUUAGGGAAGAACAUAUGUGUAAGUAACUGUGCACAUCUUGACGGUACCUAAUCAGAAAGCCACGGCUAACUACG
rnacentral:rRNA from 1 species